rnacentral:rRNA from 1 species
AACGAACGCUGGCGGCAGGCCUAACACAUGCAAGUCGAGCGAAGUCUUCGGACUUAGCGGCGGACGGGUGAGUAACGCGUGGGAAUAUGCCCUUCUCUACGGAAUAGCCUCGGGAAACUGGGAGUAAUACCGUAUACGCCCUUUGGGGGAAAGAUUUAUCGGAGAAGGAUUAGCCCGCGUUGGAUUAGGUAGUUGGUGGGGUAAUGGCCUACCAAGCCGACGAUCCAUAGCUGGUUUGAGAGGAUGAUCAGCCACACUGGGACUGAGACACGGGCCGAAACUCGACGGGGGGCAGCAGGGGGGAAUCUUAGACAAUGGGCGCAAGCCUGUUCUAGCCAUGCCGGGUGAUUGAUGAAGGCCUUAGGGUUGUAAAGUUCUUUCAGCUGGGAAGAUAAUGACGGUACCAGAAGAAGAAGCCCCGGCUACCUCCGUGCCAGCAGCCGCGGUAA